rnacentral:rRNA from 1 species
UACAGAGGGUGCGAGCGUUGUCCGGAAUCACUGGGCGUAAAGGGCGCGUAGGCGGCCUGAUAAGUAGGGGGUGAAAUCUUGCGGCUCAACCGCAAGGCUGCCUUCUAAACUGUCAGGCUGGAGCACGGUAGAGGCAGAUGGAAUUCCCGGUGUAGUGGUGGAAUGCGUAGAUAUCGGGAGGAACACCAGUGGCGAAGGCGACUUCCUGGACCUGUUCUGACGCUGAGGAGCGAAAGCGUGGGGAGCGAUCCGG